AUUGAACGCUGGCGGCAGGCUUAACACAUGCAAGUCGAGCGGGGUGAUGGUGCUUGCACUAUCACUUAGCGGCGGACGGGUGAGUAAUGCUUAGGAAUCUGCCUAUUAGUGGGGGACAACAUCUCGAAAGGGAUGCUAAUACCGCAUACGUCCUACGGGAGAAAGCAGGGGAUCACUUGUGACCUUGCGCUAAUAGAUGAGCCUAAGUCGGAUUAGCUAGUUGGUGGGGUAAAGGCCUACCAAGGCGACGAUCUGUAGCGGGUCUGAGAGGAUGGUCCGCCACACUGGGGCUGAGGCACGGCCCAGACUCCUACGGGAGGCAGCAGUGGGGAAUAUUGGACAAUGGGGGGAACCCUGAUCCAGCCAUGCCGCGUGUGUGAAGAAGGCCUUAUGGUUGUAAAGCACUUUAAGCGAGGAGGAGGCUCUUUUGGUUAAUACCCAAGAUGAGUGGACGUUACUCGCAGAAUAAGCACCGGCUAACUCUGUGCCAGCCGCCGCAGUAA
rnacentral:rRNA from 1 species